AAAGGUUGGUGGCGCACUUCCUGAAACGGGCAGUGUAUUCACCAUGCGUAAAGCAAUCAGAUACCCAGCCCGCCUAAUGAGCGGGCUUUUUUUU
rfam:Shigella dysenteriae Sd197, complete genome.